rnacentral:ncRNA from 1 species
UAUUCGGCUAUGACGAGAAAGAGUACCCGGAAAGGAUGCUACAGAGAGCUGCUGGAUGGUGCAAGGCAGUGCAGGGCGUCCGUGGGAAGAUCCUCUCCGAGCUUUCCGGCUGAAUAGGCGGUGUAUGCGCCCCAGUAAGCGGGAACGGCAGGCCCCCGUUAUCACGGGCCGCGCAUUGUUGGAUGCGCACUGAGGGGCCGGGCUUUGCACCGGCAAUAAGAGUGGCUUUGCACCGGCAAUAAGAGUGGUACCGCAGAGGAGUUUAUACGCCUUUGUCUCUUAC